UAUUGAAGGAGAAGUUGAGAUACAUAGAAGAAGAGGAACAGACUGAUCAAGUUAGAGGCAGAGGAAAAACCUCUCAUGAUGUGGACAUCUUUCAAUGGUUUCUGUAACGACACUAACAUCAAUGACUACCAAGAUAACUGUGUAGACCUCCAAAAGAUGAAUGAUCAUGGAUGAAGCAGAGAUGGGCCCUAAAUAAGAAUUGAAGCCAAGGAGUGAAGUAUAUACUAUGGGCCAAAUGAAGCAGAAGAUAAAAUAAAGAAUCAUAAGAUGAGAAGAAAGAAUGGAAAGUUGGAGAAGUUAAGUACCUGACCAAAGCCACACAGAUAAAAAAUGGCAGAGCUAGGUUUUGAACCCAGGUCUGUCGGCCUCUACAGCCUAACCUCUUAACCUCUAUGCAUUAAUGCUCCUUUUCAUAUUACUUACCAAGAUCACAGAGAGAGGGUGGCAGAGACAGGAUAUAAAUGAAAGUCUUUGGACCGUAGGCCCGGUGAUUUUACCAUUCCUCUCUUUAAGCCUGAGAUAGAGCCACACUUCAAGGGACGGACAGAUCACUGUGGACUGGGAAGGACAGAGUGUUCAUUUCCUUGUAUUUGACUUGAUUUAUUAAUGGCUAGAGCAGCUGUGAACAUCAGUGGUCCCUUUCUGUGAAGACUUACUUUUUAUCUCUUUCAUUAUGCCACUUCUGUGAUGCCUUCACUUCUGAGUAAUUUUUAAAUAUAAAUGUUUUGUUUCCCUUUCCAAACAGUUUUUCAAGUUGUUUACAGUCAGCCAAGAGCACAUACACAUACACAUAUAGCAGGACUAAAAAACGAGCUGACUGUGGAAUGGAGAUCGAAAAUAACACUACAAGACCUCAAUGCUGGCCCAGGCAAUCUAAGUUUUCCCAGUUUCCAUCUUUAAGAUACCUUUUUCCUUAUGUUGCAUAUGUUCCCAACUCUUGAAGCCUUUCUCCCCAAAUAUUCAAUUUACUUUCACAUAUAUAAUUAGGGGACCCUACACUAAGCAAUACACAGUGUAAGGGAUACAAUAUAAAUCUGCACAGUCUCUGUACUGGGCAUGCCCUGA